AUUGAACGCUGGCGGAAUGCUUUACACACGCAAGUCGAGCGGCAGCACGGGGGCAACCCUGGUGGCGAGCGGCGAACGGGUGAGUAAUACAUCGGAACAUGCCCAGUCGUGGGGGAUAACACUUCGAAAGAAGUGCUAAUACCGCAUACGUCCUGAGGGAGAAAGCGGGGGAUCUUCGGACCCCGCGCGAUUGGAGUGGCCGAUGUCAGAUUAGCUAGUUGGUGGGGUAAAGGCCUACCAAGGCAACGAUCUGUAGCUGGUCUGAGAGGAUGAUCAGCCACACUGGGACUGAGACACGGCCCAGACUCCUACGGGAGGCAGCAGUGGGGAAUUUUGGACAAUGGGGGCAACCCUGAUCCAGCCAUUCCGCGUGAGUGAAGAAGGCCUUCGGGUUGUAAAGCUCUUUCGGCAGAAACGAAACGGCGAGCUCUAACAUAGCUUGCUAAUGACGGUACCUGAAGAAGAAGCACCGGCUAACUACGUGCCAGCCGCCGCCAUAACAC
rnacentral:rRNA from 1 species